ensembl:lncRNA
CGGGGUGAGCGAGAGAGAGAGAGUGAGAGUGAGGUUCGGGGUGAGCGAGAGAGAGAGAGUGAGGUUCGGGGUGAGCGAGAGAGAGAGAGUGAGGUUCGGGGUGAGCGAGAGAGAGAGAGUGAGGUUCGGGGUGAGCGAGAGAGAGAGAGUGAGGUUCUAAAUGGGAGAGAGAUGAGGGGAGAGUUCUUCUGCCCAGGUGUUGCUGAAGCAUACCAGAUCUAACAACGCCUGGAUAGGCAUCAGUUUACCACAUCAUAUGUUGUAGCAAUCUGGUGCCCAACGGCACAGUCGAUGAUGUGACACGCAACCAUUGGUUGAUGCACGCAACGUCUGAACAGGGGAACACAACCAAGCUCUCCAGGCCAAAACACACGUGCAGAAGAGCAGAGAAGAAGACAUCACUCAUGCAUUAAGAGGAUGAGAAAAUGCAAGAGACCGAAAUAAAAGGCCAGUGGCUUUUCCCAGAGAUUGUGAAAUGAGUAGGAAAGCAAGGUGUCCCUCGAAAGUCUCUC